AAUAUUGGACAAUGGGCGCAAGCCUGAUCCAGCCAUGCCGCGUGAGUGAUGAAGGCCCUAGGGUUGUAAAGCUCUUUCAGUGGGGACGAUAAUGACGGUACCCACAGAAGAAGCCCCGGCUAACUUCGUGCCAGCAGCCGCGGUAAUACGAAGGGGGCUAGCGUUGUUCGGAAUUACUGGGCGUAAAGCGCACGUAGGCGGACAUUUAAGUCAGGGGUGAAAUCCCGGGGCUCAACCCCGGAACUGCCUUUGAUACUGGGUGUCUUGAGUUCGGAAGAGGUGAGUGGAAUUGCGAGUGUAGAGGUGAAAUUCGUAGAUAUUCGCAGGAACACCAGUGGCGAAGGCGGCUCACUGGUCCGAUACUGACGCUGAGGUGCGAAAGCGUGGGGAGCAAACAGG
rnacentral:rRNA from 1 species